rnacentral:rRNA from 1 species
UACAGAGGUCCCAAGCGUUGUUCGGAUUCAUUGGGGCGUAAGGGUGCGUAGGCGGCGCGGUGGAGUCGGGUGAUGAAAUCUCGGAGCUUAAACUCCGAAACUGCAUUCGAUACUGCCGUGCUUGAGGACUGGAGAGGAUGACUGGAAUUUACGGUGUAAGCGGUGAAAUGCGUAGAUAUCGUGAAGGAACGACCGAGUGGAGCGGAAGG